GGUUACUGCUAUCGGUGUUCGCCUAAGCCAUGCGAGUCAUAUGUUCGUAAGAACAUGGCGUACUGCUCAGUAACACGUGGAUAACCUGCCCUUGGGUCCGGCAUAACCCCGGGAAACUGGGGAUAAUUCCGGAUAACGCACAUAUGCUGGAAUGCUUUUUGCGUAAAAUGGAUUCGUCUGCCCAAGGAUGGGUCUGCGGCCUAUCAGGUAGUAGUGGGUGUAAUGUACCUACUAGCCUACGACGGGUACGGGUUGUGAGAGCAAGAGCCCGGAGAUGGAUUCUGAGACAUGAAUCCAGGCCCUACGGGGCGCAGCAGGCGCGAAAACUUUACAAUGCGGGAAACCGUGAUAAGGGGACACCGAGUGCCAGCAUCCUAUGCUGGCUGUCCGGGUGUGUAAAAUACACCUGUUAGCAAGGGCCGGGCAAGACCGGUGCCAGCCGCCGCGGUAACACCGGCGGCCCGAGUGGUGAUCGUGAUUAUUGGGUCUAAAGGGUCCGUAGCCGGUUUGGUCAGUCCUCCGGGAAAUCUGACAGCUUAACUGUUAGGCUUUCGGAGGAUACUGCCAGACUUGGAACCGGGAGAGGUAAGAGGUACUACAGGGGUAGGAGUGAAAUCUUGUAAUCCCUGUGGGACCACCUGUGGCGAAGGCGUCUUACCAGAACGGGUUCGACGGUGAGGGACGAAAGCUGGGGGCACGAACCGGAUUAGAUACCCGGGUAGUCCCAGCCGUAAACGAUGCUCGCUAGGUGUCAGGCAUGGCGCGACCGUGUCUGGUGCCGCAGGGAAGCCGUGAAGCGAGCCACCUGGGAAGUACGGCCGCAAGGCUGAAACUUAA
rnacentral:rRNA from 1 species